UACACAAUCGAAAAUGUUAAACCUGCUUACACAAAUUGGCAUCCAUCAGAACCUAAUAACAAAGGUAAUGAAAAUUGCGUUAAUUAUUGGUAUUCAAAUGGACUAUGGAAUGACAUUUCAUGCAGUAACGCACACCAUUUCAUCUGUCAACGUGGAAGAAGUGACAUAAACUGACGAACACGAGGAAAAAGUUAAGAAACUGAGAGAAGCUGGACAAGAGUCAUUUGCUCUAAUAGUUGAAGAAUACAAGGCAUUAUCGACAACAGCUGUAUCACAGGAACGCGAGAGAAAUGAGAAACAUUUACAUAAAAUACU